rnacentral:rRNA from 1 species
UAGUGGGGGACAACAUUUCGAAAGGAAUGCUAAUACCGCAUACGUCCUACGGGAGAAAGCAGGGGAUCUUCGGACCUUGCGCUAAUAGAUGAGCCUAAGUCGGAUUAGCUAGUUGGUGGGGUAAAGGCCUACCAAGGCGACGAUCUGUAGCGGGUCUGAGAGGAUGAUCCGCCACACUGGGACUGAGACACGGCCCAGACUCCUACGGGAGGCAGCAGUGGGGAAUAUUGGACAAUGGGCGCAAGCCUGAUCCAGCCAUGCCGCGUGUGUGAAGAAGGCCUUAUGGUUGUAAAGCACUUUAAGCGAGGAGGAGGCUACUUUAGUUAAUACCUAGAGAUAGUGGACGUUACUCGCAGAAUAAGCACCGGCUAACUCUGUGCCAGCAGCCGCGGUAAUACAGAGGGUGCAAGCGUUAAUCGGAUUUACUGGGCGUAAAGCGCGCGUAGGCGGCUAAUUAAGUCAAAUGUGAAAUCCCCGAGCUUAACUUGGGAAUUGCAUUCGAUACUGGUUAGCUAGAGUGUGGGAGAGGAUGGUAGAAUUCCAGGUGUAGCGGUGAAAUGCGUAGAGAUCUGGAGGAAUACCGAUGGCGAAGGCAGCCAUCUGGCCUAACACUGACGCUGAGGUGCGAAAGCAUGGGGAGCAAACAGGAUUAGAUACCCUGGUAGUCCAUGCCGUAAACGAUGUCUACUAGCCGUUGGGGCCUUUGAGGCUUUAGUGGCGCAGCUAACGCGAUAAGUAGACCGCCUGGGGAGUACGGUCGCAAGACUAAAACUCAAAUGAAUUGACGGGGGCCCGCACAAGCGGUGGAGCAUGUGGUUUAAUUCGAUGCAACGCGAAGAACCUUACCUGGCCUUGACAUAGUAAGAACUUUCCAGAGAUGGAUUGGUGCCUUCGGGAACUUACAUACAGGUGCUGCAUGGCUGUCGUCAGCUCGUGUCGUGAGAUGUUGGGUUAAGUCCCGCAACGAGCGCAACCCUUUUCCUUAUUUGCCAGCGAGUAAUGUCGGGAACUUUAAGGAUACUGCCAGUGACAAACUGGAGGAAGGCGGGGACGACGUCAAGUCAUCAUGGCCCUUACGGCCAGGGCUACACACGUGCUACAAUGGUCGGUACAAAGGGUUGCUACCUAGCGAUAGGAUGCUAAUCUCAAAAAG